AUGGUCCGACGCAUGGUGAAGAAGAAGAGAUUUUUUUUUUGCAGGGACAAAGAAGAGAAAUUUGGUCUGCAUAGCGAGCUAGAUCAUAACUACGAAACUAAGAGUUUCAUAAUAUUUUGUAGCCCAAAUUGUUAUCUGAUUCUCAAUCUGUUUUUGUCGUUGGCUUCGUACUCGGCCAACCAACCAACUCGGGGCAAGCGGUUGGUGCUCAACACUAUGGACAUGCCUAUCCCUGAGAGGGUUUCUACUGCCUUGAGUUCGAAGACAACGAAGAGGAGGGCUUGGAGGUUCCAAAUCGCGAAUGUGAUUAUCAUUUCCGUGGAUCCUGGCCUUCUUUUGGUUCGAAACCUUGAGGAAGAGUUCAAGCAUCUAGACGGGGGGCGACUAGGAAAUGCAAGUCCGUCAACUAUCCGAAUUAGACAAUUCAGCGGUGCUCCCAUCUCAAUAAGCUUUGUGUAUGUCACCCACGGUGGAAGAUUAUCUCUCUUCCUCAAAACCAUUGUGGCCACAAUCUGGUGCUCCUUUUGGGAGAUAGAUCCCUUCAAGAAAAUGUAG
rnacentral:rRNA from 1 species